AACAUGCGCACAAACAUCCGAUCCCUCUUUACACAAAAAGUACAUGUAUCACGAAACUGGUAUGUGACGAUUCCUAAAUCAUCGAUAUCAUAUUGCGAACGCAAGACACGCUUGCAACAACCAUGCAUACUUUUUGUGUGUUAUUCGUGUGUUUAUUGGUGAUUUGGGUUUCAGUUGACGAUUGCCAUGGUAACAAGUGGUCACUCGAUGAGUCAGACCUGGUCCCCUUCCAGGAUCGGGACCAAGACAAAAACUGGAUAGAGGAUCACGUCUGGGUGCCGAUUGUUAGCGGCCUUGUCCUGGUCGGUAUAAUCGUACUUUGCUGCUUGUGUUGCUGCGGUUGCUGCGCCUGCUGUAGGAGAGACCGUACCGUGGUGAUGCAGUCAGCACAGUCCAGCGUGGUUAUACAGAGCACGAACGUCAUGCACGCUGGGUAUAACCAGUAAUCCGGAUGAUGCAUUGGGAACUACUACACUGCACUACCAAAACACGCAACCUGUAUCUGACGUUAUACGUUUUUAAACAUAUAUUGUUAUGCCCCUUCGAAGAAGAGGGGGUAUAUUGUUUUGCUGGAUGUCGGUCGGUCUAUCGUUCGGUCUGUCAGUUUGUCGGUAGACCCAGUUCGUUUCCGAUCAACAACUUGUGAACGGAUUGACCGAUUGGCUUGAUACUUCACAUGUACAUUGGCCUUGGACAGUAGAUGAUCCCUAUAGAAAUUGGGGUCACUAGGUCAAAGGUCAAGGUCACUAUCACAAUAAGUGUAAAAAUCGUUUCCGAUCAAAAACUCGUCAACGAAUUUACCGAUUGGCUUGAUACAUCACUUGUACAUUGGCCUUGGACAGUAGAUGACCCCUAUUGAAAUUGGGUCAAUAGGUUUGGGGGGCAUAUGUCUCCGACCGCGGAACUCUUGUUCUAUUUUUUUAACUGAAAAAAAAAUCGUAUAAUAAAAGUAUUCUUUGUUGAACGUCUUAUAUGGAUAGUUGUGUACAUAUAAUGUAUUUGUAAUAUCCGUUGAAAAUAUUGGACAUGUACACUUUUUUAUUGUUUCAUAGCUGUUCGUUGGUAAUAUAAAACAAAGAUCACUCAAUAAAAUGAACCUUGCUCUCGGGAAAGGGGCUUAAUGCAUGUGAGAAAAGUGUUGUCCCAGAGCCUGUUCUACCCAUCUUUUCUCCACCAAACUGGAGUUUCGCUAAGAGGAGACUUUCUUUAAACGUAAAUACCAUAACAGCGGAAAGUGUCGUCGCCGAUAAGCCUGAACGGACUGCACAGUAUAAUCUAGGACGACACUUUACGCACAUGCAUUAAGCCCCUUUUCCCAAAGACUCAAGUAAGUUAGUAGAUCUCUGUAUAGUAAUGAUACAGGUUGCUUGAGGAAUUAUCUUUCUGUAAACUUUUGCUUGUGAUGAGUUGAACGAAGCCCUUAUCAAGAUGACAUCGAUCUGAAAUUGUUGUAUUCUUUCUACAAGGACUUUGCGCUGUCCCUGAUCAGGAGUUACCCCUUGUCCGCUAUUAACCCAUUUAUGCCUAGUGGACUCUCCCUUCCCUCAAAAUUGUAUCAAAUUAUUUCCAAAAUUAGGGAUGUCUAGUAUAUUUAUUUCUCUAUUUAGAAUACUUCUUACAGAAAUUCCUUUAAGCAAACAGCGCAGACCCAGAUGAGACGCCGCAUCUACGAGCUUUAAUGCACGUGUUUAGAAUUCCAUUAUAAACAUUCUAGCGUAACACUCUGUGGCUUCAUGUAUUAUUUAGACGCGUCAUUACAUUAUAAUGACUUACCCGUAAUGUGCUUGUGCUCCAGUGUAUGUACAUCCUUUUAGCUCAUAGUUAGGAUUGUGUAAUAGUUGAAGGAAAUUUGAUGGUUAUAGCUCUAUUGAGCCUUGUUCUGAGAAAACUGGGCUUAAUGCAUGUGCGUAAAGUGUCAUCCAAGAUUAGCAUGUGAAGUCCGCACAGGCUAAGCAGGGACGACACUCUCCGCAUAAACUUGAUUUUCGGUAAGGAGGGACUUCAUUGAAACUAAAAAUACCAUAAAAGCGGAAAGUGUCGUCCCUGAUUAGCCUGUGCGGACUGCACAGGCUUAUCUGGGACGACACUUUACGCACAUGCAUUAAGCCCAGUUUUCUCAGAACGCGGCUCUAUUGAUUUCAAUCUCAAACCAAUGUAUGGCAUGGUGUAUUGUUGAUUAUAUAUAUACCGUUGAGCUGAGUUAUUGUCUUAAAAAUAUGAUCUGUACGGUUGCUCUGUUUAAAUAUUUUGUUUAAGCAAUGUUUUAUUUUGUUAUUGUUAACAUUAUGCUAUAAAACAAUUUUGUUUACGAUUUUUGGUUAAUAUUUAUGCCAACAAUGCAAUAUUUUUAACAAGAUAACAACGCACCCUCUGUGAUUUUCGGGAUAUGGAAAGCCUUUUUUUUCUUUUAAUAACAAUUGCAGGGUUUUAUUAGUUUUUAUAACAUACGUUAGGAAUUUAGCUACAGCAGAAUGGCAGAGAUAGAGGGGGUUUCCUUUAUAAUUUGGAUUCCACACCCUUUUUAAAAUAUUCAUCACCCUUUUUGGUCCCUUUUUUCUUUGUCAAUGAUCUGGUUAAUACAGGAACACCCAACACGUUUAUAUUGGCGAUUGACAAUUUUAUAGAUUAACAUGCAGAAUUAAUUGAUAUUUACAUCAAAUUGUAAUAAAGAACAGACCUCGUUGAAUUAUGCUGAAUGGAUGUUUGAAUAUAUUAACUGAAGUGGAAUUAGCAAAAUAUACCACCCGACACAUUUUUAUGAAAUAGGUCACCCUUUUCCCUUUUCAGCCCCUUCCACCAUGUCAUUGUUCAAGUCUGGCUAAAUCCCCACAUACGUAUUUUAAAACUAGUGUGGUAAAAUUCGUGUGUAUGCAAUGCUCCUUAAUCUUGUUAUGGCAGGGCACAGAUUAAGUAUCGGGCAGUAGUGCUUAUCAACUUAUCAUCGUUGUCAUCCUAACCGCAUUUAAAAGAGACAUUCGUACUGUUUGACGCUGUAGGAUUUUACGACUUUUUUUAACACUAAGAAGUGGACUGUGUUUUUUGUUUUUUUAAGUAUUUUAUUUUGCGUAAAAUAAAUGUUACCAGUUUGUA